CCUACGGGCGGCAGCAGUGAGGAAUAUUGGUCAAUGGCCGGAAGGCUGAACCAGCCAUGCCGCGUGAAGGUCAGUGCACUUUGGGAGUUAAACUUCUUUUGUGCGGGAGCAAUAAUGGUCACGUGUGGCCAGACGCGAGUACCGUACGCAUAAGCAUCGGCUCACUCCGUGCCAGCAGCCGCGGUAAUACGGGGGAUGCAAGCGUUAUCCGGAUUUAUUGGGUUUAAAGGGUGCGUAGGCUGGGAGGGAAGUCAGCGGGGGAAUGCCCCCGCGCAACGGGGUGAAGUGCCAUUGAUACUGCCUUGCUGGAAUGCGGAUGCGGUGGGAGGAAUGUGUGGUGUAGCGGUGAAAUGCAUAGAUAUCA
rnacentral:rRNA from 1 species